rnacentral:rRNA from 1 species
GAUGAACGCUGACAGAAUGCUUAACACAUCAGCAAUUGAUUGGUGGCGGACGGGUGAGUAACGCGUACAGAACUUGCCUCACAGGUAGGGACAACAUUUGGCAACGAAUGCUAAUACCUAAUACUGUGAGAGAGCUUUGCGUCCCAUUAGCUAGUUGGAGAGGUAACGGCUCACAAAGGCGAUGAUGGGUAGCCGGCCUGAGAGGGUGAUCGGCCAGAAGGGGACGGAGACUCGGUCCUGACUCCUACGGGAGGCAGGAGUGGGGAAAAUUGGACAAGGGACCAAAGUCUGAUCCAGCAAUUCUGUGUGCACGAUGAAGUUUUCGGAAUGAAAAGUGCUUUCAGUUGGGAAGCGGUACCAACAGAAGAAGUGACGGCUAAAUACGUGCCAGCAGCCGCGGUAAUUC